rnacentral:lncRNA from 1 species
UUCUAAAUGUGUUAAGUAAAAACUGUGUUGUAGAAGUACCGUGUUAUAUGAGGGUUUCUGCAAUUUUCUAAUCAUGUUAGAGUAAAAUUGUGUUAUAUAAGGGUUACUUGUACAUUGUUAUGGAAUAUUUUACAUUGAUAGUAUCAAGGAAGUGAAUGCAUGAUUAGCUACUUUGAUCCUGUUUUAUAUGUAAGCCAAGAGAAAUAUUGCUAAGGGCAUUUGCAAUUUGUCAUUGUUCUUUCCAUCCCAAAUUAUUAUAACAUUGUCAAUAUAAUACUUGCAGGAUUUAAUGUGUGGAAGAAAUGUGUGUGAAGCUUACUUGAGCUAGGCAGAUAGUUCAACAAAGAUUGCCCCCAUUGCAACAAAAUAAAGAUUGUUAAAAUUUUUAUUUUGUUUAAAGAUUUGUGUAUCAAAAAUAAGAGUGGAGUGCUACAAAAUUGCAUGUGUCUCUUACAGAUUGGGAAGCAGUCAACAUAGGGCAGGUGUUCAAGAAACUGAAAAAGUGCAUGGGACACAGGAGGCAAUUCAAAAGAAGGAUAUAAUAUCAUGUAAUUAAAAACAGGCAUUGUUUCAUUGGGGAAAGGCUCUCUCUCAAGCAAUGCAUUAAUAAGAUCAGUUGGAGAUUUUAAGUAGAAGUCAUAGGCUCAAGCAUUCACCUAUUCUAAUUCACUAAACUUUUUCCCAAUUAAAAAUGUGGGAGCUUAGAAUUGUUGAAUAAUUGCAUAUUCUUUAAUAGAGAUUUGUGUGUUUUUAAUGAAAAUUAUUAGGCACAGAAAUGAAGAGGAAGUUUUGAUGACAGAAUUCUUCAGAAAGUCUGACAAAGCAGAAUUAGUCAUAAGUUUUUAUCCAACAUGCAAUAGGCAGUCAGUUGGGUCAACGUUGACUAUGGUGGAAUCUAUAGAAUUGCAGCAUUUGCAGUCAUGUUUCAAUAAGACAAAUUUCUUGGUUUUGUCUCCUCUGGAGCAGAAUAUCUUUAUCAUUUGAUUAGGUUUGAUUAAGUGAGACAGCAGCUUGACAUCUUCUGUUUUCUUUUAUAGUUGGGCAUUAUAUUUCCAUUAAGUUUUCUGAAAUUUUCAGAGAUACUUUAAUCAGAUUUUGUCUUUGUGUUCUUUUGCAACUCUAAUAAUAGAUUCAAGCUUCAAGCUGCAUUGGACCUUUGUCUAAUGUUUCUUUAACAUAUACAAAUAGUGGAAUAUCAGAAAGUAGUGAAUACAUUUGAAUUUUAUGCAAAGCACAUCACGUUUAACUCUGAAGAAGGCAUGUUGUAUUUCAAUGAUAAAUCUUUUAAAUUCUCUUUGUGUUGACUUUGAGUUUUUCUGAUUGCCUGGAAGCCUGAGUCUAAAGAUUCUCAUAGGAAGAACAAAGAGGAAGUACUCACAAACUUUAGAAAGACUAUUGGUGUUAUACAGGCUGUAAACUUGUUUUUGAAGGGGAGGAAAGCCUCAAUUUGCUGUGAAAUGAUAAGGCUAACAUGUCCAUAAAUGGCAGCUAACUGUUUAUAAAAUCCUCAUCAGAAAUCUAGAUCUCUUCAAAGAUAAAGCAUACAUCAGCUAUAUAUCUUAUAAUCUUAGAACUAGGUUUAACUCCUUGUGUACUGUGGAUGUUUUGAAAUUAAGCCUAAUUAAUAUUAAUAUGC